UACGAAGGGUGCAAACGUUGCUCGGAAUUAUUGGGCGUAAAGCGCACGUAGGCGGCUUAGCAAGUCGGAUGUGAAAUCCCUCGGCUCAACCAAGGAAGUGCAUCCGAAACUGCUGAGCUUGAGUACGAAAGAGGAUCGCGGAAUUCCCGGUGUAGAGGUGAAAUUCGUAGAUAUCAGGAGGAACACCGGUGGCGAAGGCGGGUCUCUGGGCCGUAACUGACGCUGAGGAGCGAAAGCAUGGGGAGCGAACAGG
rnacentral:rRNA from 1 species